GACGAACCGUGCGAACGUUAUUCGGAAUCACUGGGCUUAAAGGGCGCGUAGGCGGGCGAUCAAGUCAGGGGUGAAAGCCCCCAGCUCAACUGGGGAAGUGCCUCUGAUACUGGUCGCCUCGAGGGAGGUAGGGGCGUGCGGAACUUCCGGUGGAGCGGUGAAAUGCGUAGAUAUCGGAAGGAACGUCGGUGGCGAAAGCGGCGCGCUGGACCUCUUCUGACGCUGAGGCGCGAAAGCCAGGGGAGCGAACGGG
rnacentral:rRNA from 1 species